rnacentral:misc_RNA from 1 species
UGGCACAAUGGCUGACA